GACAGGAGGAUGCAAAGCGUUAUCCGGAAUGAUUGGGCGUAAAGCGUCUGUAGGUGGCUUUUUAAGUCCGCCGUCAAAUCCCAGGGCUCAACCCUGGACAGGCGGUGGAAACUACCAAGCUGGAAGUACGGUAGGGGCAGAGGGAAUUUCCGGAUGGAGGCGGUGAAAUGCGUAGAUCUUGGAAAGACCACCAAUGGCGAA
rnacentral:rRNA from 1 species